rnacentral:rRNA from 1 species
ACGUCAGAUCAUCAUGCCCCUUAUGACCUGGGCAACACACGUGCUACAAUGGGAAGUACAACGAGUCGCAAACUGGCGACGGUAAGCUAAUCUCUUAAAACUUCUCUCAGUUCGGACUGGAGUCUGCAACUCGACUCCACGAAGGCGGAAUCGCUAGUAAUCGCGAAUCAGCAUGUCGCGGUGAAUACGUUCCCGGGUCUUGUACACACCGCCCGUCAAAUCAUGGGAGUCGGAAGUACCUAAAGUCGCUUGGCUAACUUUUAGAGGCCGGUGCCUAAGGUAAAAUCGAUGACUGGGAUUAAGUCGUAACAAGGUAGCCGUAGGAGAACCUGCGGCUGGAUCACCUCCUUUCUAAGGA